CUGACAUGUUAUUAAAUUGUAAAUUUCAGGAGAUAUCCUUAGCUUUAUCUAAGACCUAUUGAAUCAAUAAGUCAAUUCAGAUUUUUAAUAAGCUCGCUCAAUAGCUAACCAAUCAAAGCCAAUAUCUUUUUCUAAAUGAUGUAAUGGUCUUUCGGCCUUUAGAGCUGUAUGGCAGACCUUGACUGUGUGUACAUGGACAUGUGACCACGCCCACCAUGGACAGGCGUCGACCAAUGAAAAGUUUCCAUAACGAUUGAUUUGGUGCCAUGUUUUGUAAAUGACUGAUAGAUUUAUUUGAAGUAAUUAAUGCUGUCAUGUCUUCAGUGGGACUCUAUGGGGAUAUGUUGGGUAUUUCUGGUCAGAUUAUUACAUGUGUAUAUAGGUCUCUGGUGAUAGUAACCAAGGUGAUAGGGUUUUAUUUUCUCAUUGUUCAUCUGAUACAUUUAAGGUAUAACUUGAUCAGGUGUCAUUCAAGGUUGGAAGGUGUCAGUUGUCUUUGAUAGUUAAACAACGAAAUACAGUUACUGUAUUACCUAUGUGUCGUAUAUUUUGUAUCCCGAUCACUGGCCACGUAACCUAAGGUAAAGAUCUGAGGUCUGUGGUGUGACCAUCCCUACCUGUAUCAGUUUGUGUUUAUCGGGAAGCUGAGAAACAGACUUGUAUGUGUUGUCAUGGUUUUGUCUUUGAUGAAUGGCAUUCGAUGGGCCUCCCAUAUGUUGUUCAGUACCUAUACUAGAUUUUUAAAAAGUUUUUGACCUAUGUAGUUGACCAUGCAAUAUUGAUUAAAAAAAGCUGGAAGUGUAUAACUUU